rnacentral:lncRNA from 1 species
CAAAAUCAUGUUUUGUUUAACUUUUUAUCUCCAGAAAUUAACCCAGUGCCUGCCAUAGUCAGUACUCUGUGGAUAAAUGAAUAAAUUGGGCAUCCCUUGAGGAAUUCCUAUUUUUUAUUGAUCUACUGGAUACCUCUUGGGCCCCGCUUGCUCCAGCCUUUGUAGUGACAGCCAGAUUCAUGCCGGUGAAACCUGACAGCCCCUCACUUGACUUUCUGACCUGGGAGCUUCUCUACAACCUUUGGAAACAGGAGCACAACCUGAAAGUGUGAGGAAAUUCACAACCUAUGUGGCAACCCGUAAAUGACGAAAGGCAGAACUGGUGAAUGAGUGCUCCUCUCACAUCUCGCAGGCAAUUCUGAAGGAGCUUGCUGACUCCUAAGAAGAUACUGGGAUUGAGCUGACUUUGCCCAUAGUGGGGGAUGAGCUCCAGGAUGCACUCUUGUAUUGGCUUUCCCUCCCUUUCCAUUUUCUUCUCCUAAUUCCCCACUCCUGUUCCUAGGAUGAAUUCCCAAAUAAAGAACUUACGCAUAAUCUGGAGGACACAGGCUCUACUUUCCACAGAGAACCCAACUUAAGAGAUAAAGGUUAAAC